rnacentral:misc_RNA from 1 species
UUCCAUAUUAAAAAGUUUUCCUCUAGAUUGUGAAGCCGUUGACUAACUUUUAGGAUAAAGUUUGCAUGUAGGCGGGAGUUUAAAUUAUAAUAUUACGAAAGCUCGUCUUAAUCUUGCUUCUACUUACUGAUGUUAAUUUAUCCAACCGGUUCUUCGUAUAGUGCACUACAACUUCUAUGCCAUAUAAAAACGUUAGAGGAGUACUUUAUUCAGCUAUCAAAACGUUUCAAGAAUAGACCGUAAGGCGAUGUAUUGGUUUUGAAACAUAUUCACAACAUUAGUCCAAAAUAGGAACUUAUCAUGGAAAAACAAACGACACUCCAUUAGGGUAGAUAGAAAUGAUUUUUAUAAAAAAAAUAUAAAUAAUAUUCACUGAAGGAAAAGCUGUGGAGAUCCUGAAGGCGGCCGUAAGUGUUGGAGAAAUAUUUAGCCAUUCAAGUAUUCGAUUCCUUUUGUUCAAUAAACUUUUCUUAAUUAAAAGGAAUAGUUUAAGAAAAAGACGAAAGUUAAAAUUGGCGUAAAAAUUGAUAUUACUGAAUAUAUGGUUGUAAUGGAGGCAAUGAGAGAUACUUAGAAUAUAUAUAACUGUUAGAUUGCGCACAAAACAGGCGAUGGUAAAACUACGUUUGAAUGAAAUCUAAAAUUAUAUUUUGUACCAAGUCAAGCAUUAAAAAUAAUCACAGCUUAAUUAGCUCUUGGCACUUGAUAAAUAGUACUGGAAAAUUUUGUCUCUGUGAUCGUAAAAACUGAUUGUAUCAGUGGUGGCAAACGUAAAGCAAAAUAGUUCGGUGUUAAUAAAACUACAUAAAAAUGUACAUGAUGGACGAGUCACAACCGAAAACGUUGUACGUUGGUAACUUAGAUGCAUCAGUAUCAGAAGAGCUACUGAUAGCACUAUUCAGUCAAAUGGGUCCUGUCAAAAACUGCAAGAUCAUACGGGAGCCCGGUAAUGAUCCAUAUGCUUUCAUUGAAUACUCGACUUAUCAGGCGGCAACUACUGCAUUGACUGCAAUGAAUAAGCGGUUGUUUCUGGAUAAAGAAAUAAAGGUUAAUUGGGCCACUAGUCCUGGGAAUCAGCCAAAAACAGAUAUUAGUUCACAUCAUCAUAUUUUCGUUGGUGAUCUCAGCCCAGAAAUCGAAACAGAUAUGCUACGUGAAGCAUUUGCGCCCUUUGGUGAAAUAUCCAAUUGCCGUAUCGUAAGAGAUCCACAAACAAUGAAAUCGAAAGGCUAUGCUUUUGUAUCAUUUGUCAAGAAAGCAGAAGCGGAAAAUGCGAUACAAGCUAUGAAUGGCCAGUGGAUAGGUUCACGUUCUAUUCGAACGAAUUGGUCCACAAGAAAACUGCCACCACCGCGUGAAUCCAGCAAAUCUGGCGGUGGCAUGGGCAUGAAAGGACAUAUUCGACAUACUUUUGAGGAGGUGUACAAUCAGUCAAGUCCAACAAAUACCACCGUUUAUUGUGGAGGCUUCCCGCCGAAUGUUAUUAGUGACGAAGUAAUGCACAAGCAUUUCAUUCAGUUCGGUCCCAUACAAGAUGUACGCGUUUUCAAAGACAAAGGUUAUGCUUUUAUUAAGUUUGUCACUAAAGAAUCAGCAGCACGCGCCAUUGAGCACACUCAUAAUUCGGAAGUGCACGGCAAUCAGGUGAAAUGCUUUUGGGGCAAAGAAAAUGGUGGUGAUAAUUCAAUGAACAACGUGGCGGCAGCGUCCGCGGGGGUAGCAGCUGCAGCAGCAGCUGCGGCCGCUGCCGCCGGCACCAUUAUAACGCCAGGUAUACCGACAACUCCGCAACAAGCGGCAGCAGCCGCCGUAGUGGCCAAUGCAGCUGCGGCCGGGGCAGGAAUACCAGCUCAAAUGAUGACACAACAGCAGCUGGCUGCUGCCGCGCAGUACCCCUACGCGGCAGCAUACCAACAAAUGGGUUAUUGGUACCCGCCUACAUUGUUUACACCGUUACAGGGCUAUCCGGCCGCUCAAAUGCAAACUCAGUACAUGCAACAAGGUUACUAUCCGUACACUUAUGCUAGUGCUCAACAAGCCGGAGCCGCAGGAUACCGCAUGGUACAGCCAAACGUCGCCUGGGGAGUUCCGGGUACUGUAGUGCCGGGCGUAACAGCAGCCACUGCCGCAGCUGCUGCAAAUGGAUCACUGGCACCGCAGAUGAUGUACAGCGCUGCCAUGCCUCAGUACCAGGGUCAAUGAAGCUGAUAUGCCCGUCAUAGUUGUUGCAGCAAGUGGGUGAUACGCAAGGUGAAUAUAUUGAAAGGCAUCAGAAAACCACACCGCGCAUAUACAUGUCCAAAAUAAGAUUUUGAGGGCAUGUAAUAUCAAAAAAGCUCAAGUUGUGACAAAUAAAAUCUAAUUAUAUCCUCUUUUGGUGCGUUAUCAUGGACAGCAUUAUUUCCGUAUAAUGAUAUUAUAAUGCUCACCCCCCAACAACUGCAACAAUCGCAAAACAAUUAAAGUGACUCUAAUCUCAAAACUGAAUCAUAGCCCUCUUUGUCUCUAAUAUUGGAUAGAUAAAGAGAACAGAAUAAAAUUGGAAUGUAAAGAAUAUAUAGGUUGAGAAAUACCGCAGCCGAUAUAUUAAGCAUGGAAGGAGGUCAUUUCAUCCAAUUGUUUUAUAUGCAAGCGGUUAAAAUCAGUUUCUUAAAACGAAAAGAAAAAACGUACAACGGAAACUUCAAAACUUGUAAUUUUGGCUACAAUCUCGAAAGGAAAACAAAGAUUAUAAAGAGAAGUUAGAAAUUAGGUCGUUGUUAAAUAGAUUAUAUUUAAAAUAAAGAGAACUUAAUUAUAUCAAACGAUCGAAGAGAACUACGAAAAGUUACAAAUUAUUGCAACAACAAAAACAUACUUUGCUAUGAACAUAACAUUUAUAACACAGCUUCAGAGGGCAAAGCACAUCACUUCGAAUCUAUUUUGAAAUGGGAAAAUGUGGCAUGAGCUCCAUCAAUCAGGACACCAACAACAAAAAAAUAUUGUAAGAAACUAUUGCAAGUGGAACUUGGCCGGGCGGGUAGAGUAAAUGAUCUAAUCCAUUCUACAUUAAAAGUAACAAGUUAGGAUAUUUAAUUUAAAGGAAAAAUAAACUUAGAAGAAAAAUGUGUGACGAGCUUUACAGUAAGUACGAUGUCUACACACACUAUUAAGCGUGUUUGUUACCCGCAAAAAAAUAAACGAAACGUAGUUAUUAAGUAAGAGGUGAAUACGUUGAAUGGAUGCAACCGAAACAAAAAAAAAA